rnacentral:rRNA from 1 species
AUUGAACGCUGGCGGCAUGCCUUACACAUGCAAGUCGAACGGCAGCACGGGUGCUUGCACCUGGUGGCGAGUGGCGAACGGGUGCGUAAUACAUCGGAACAUGUCCUGUAGUGGGGGAUAGCCCGGCGAAAGCCGGAUUAAUACCGCAUACGCUCCACGGCUGAAAGCGGGGGACCUUCGGGCCUCGCGCUAUAGGGUUGGCCGAUGCCUGAUUAGCUAGUUGGUGGGGUAAAGGCCUACCAAGGCGACGAUCAGUAGCUGGUCUGAGAGGACGACCAGCCACACUGGAACUGAGACACGGUCCAGACUCCUACGGGAGGCAGCAGUGGGGAAUUUUGGACAAUGGGCGAAAGCCUGAUCCAGCAAUGCCGCGUGUGUGAAGAAGGCCUUCGGGUUGUAAAGCACUUUUGUCCGGAAAGAAAUCCUUGACUCUAAUACAGUCGGGGGAUGACGGUACCGGAAGAAUAAGCACCGGCUAACUACGUG